GUUCAGUCGCCGCUGCCGACCGUUGCCGAUGUCACCGUCGCGACGACGACUGUCCCGCACCGCGGACGCCGCUUCAACGUCACUGGGUGGUAACUGAACGCGUUACGGCGAUGCGACAGUCAGCGUGGUCGUCAUUACGCGUAAACUGAAUCACGUCGUAUCGGCGGUUAGGUGUGAAGUUGGCGCGGCAUUUCAAAGUACGCCUCGAGACGUAGAAAUGGCGACCGGCGCGUAACCUCGGUCAGUGGGCGACAGCAGUGUCGUCAUCGGACCGAACGUGCUGAACGAAUCUGACUGCGAGCCAACCGAGCCGUCGGCGGUUCGAGCCGUCGGUAAAACGGCUCGGACGCGGGCGCAGGCGAGCGACGUCGCGACGACCGCGCGGCUUCAUCCAUCUCGAGGGUGCGAUCGAUCGCGCGCGGAAAACUCGAGGGCGCAAUAUCGAUACGCGCGCAUGCGCCGAUGCGACGCCGCGCGCAAGGUCGUGGCGACUUUGCCGCGCUCGUCGGACGCGAGUAAUACCCUGCAACGGAACGAUUAAUUUUUUGGUGCGAAACAAUUCCGCGAUGCCCGUGACUCGUCAAGUCGAAACUCUCUUGGCGAGACGAGAGAUUGAAGAGACGAGGGAAAAAUAAAUACCGAGUUAACGUCGAGAUGAGAGCCGGUGGUGAAAUCCUACGAUGGACCGUCCGCAAUGCGAGGGAAAAACGGAUAAUCGGCGCGAUUAUCUUUCUCGAGUUGCCAGGAGAACGGACGGACGUGACGCAUCGAAAAAUAAAGCCUUCCCCAGGCAGCACACAUUGGUUUCAAAACCGUUUCAUAACCAUUUUAUUGAAACGUUUAUUUAGCA